rnacentral:sRNA from 1 species
UUAUAAAACCAGUAAUAGUGGAUGGAGCAGCUCUGGGUGGAGAGAGGUUAGGGGCUCAGGACACUUCUCUCUCUGAAACUGUGUUUCAGGCCUUUUCAUGGAACCCUCAAAGCAUAGCACAUGGAACCAGAGCAUUGAAGGCCACUGGCAUAAUUGCAUUUGAUACGAUCAGUGCCAGCAGAUUUGCUGUGUGACUUGGGCCUAUCACCAAACCUCUCCGGGCCUCUUCUGUCCCCUGGAGCUUCUGCCACCAGCCAUUGAUCCCUCUGUCACCCUUCUGUCCCUUGGCCCUCUCUCUUGCCAGGCUGGCUUUGGAACGGAGCAGCUCUGCCCAGGAGGCCUUGCAUGUGAUCACAGGGUUACUGGAGCACUAUGGGCAGGGGGGCGGCUGCCUGGAGGAUGCUGCGCCAUUCUCCUACCAUAGCACCUUCCUGCUGGCUGACCGCACUGAGGCGUGGGUGCUGGAGACAGCUGGGAGGCUCUGGGCUGCACAGAGGAUCCAGGAGGGGGCCCGCAACAUCUCCAACCAGCUGAGCAUUGGCACGGACAU